AACACGUAUGAGAGUAACUGUUCAUACGUUGACGGUAUUUAACCAGAAAGUCACGGCUAACUACGUGCCAGCAGCCGCGGUAAUACGUAGGUGGCAAGCGUUAUCCGGAUUUAUUGGGCGUAAAGAGAGUGCAGGCGGUUUUCUAAGUCUGAUGUGAAAGCCUUCGGCUUAACCGGAGAAGUGCAUCGGAAACUGGAUAACUUGAGUGCAGAAGAGGGUAGUGGAACUCCAUGUGUAGCGGUGGAAUGCGUAGAUAUAUGGAAGAACACCAGUGGCGAAGGCGGCUACCUGGUCUGCAACUGACGCUGAGACUCGAAAGCAUGGGUAGCGAACAGGAUUAGAUACCCUGGUAG
rnacentral:rRNA from 1 species